GACGAACGCUGGCGGCGUGCUUAACACAUGCAAGUCGAACGGAAAGGCCCUGCUUUUGUGGGGUGCUCGAGUGGCGAACGGGUGAGUAACACGUGAGUAACCUGCCCUUGACUUUGGGAUAACUUCAGGAAACUGGGGCUAAUACCGGAUAGGAGCUCCUGCUGCAUGGUGGGGGUUGGAAAGUUUCGGCGGUUGGGGAUGGACUCGCGGCUUAUCAGCUUGUUGGUGGGGUAGUGGCUUACCAAGGCUUUGACGGGUAGCCGGCCUGAGAGGGUGACCGGCCACAUUGGGACUGAGAUACGGCCCAGACUCCUACGGGAGGCAGCAGUGGGGAAUAUUGCACAAGGGGCGGAAGGCUGAUGCAGCAACGCCGCGUGCGGGAUGACGGCCUUCGUGUUGUAAACCGCUUUCGCCUGUAACGAAGCGUGAGUGACGGUAAUGGGUAAAGAAGCACCGGCUAACUACGUG
rnacentral:rRNA from 1 species